rnacentral:rRNA from 1 species
GAUGAACGCUGGCGGCGUGCCUAACACAUGCAAGUCGAACGAAGCGAUCGAGAUGAAGUUUUCGGAUGAAUUCGAGAUUGACUGAGUGGCGGACGGGUGAGUAACGCGUGGGUAACCUGCCUUAUACAGGGGGAUAACAGUUAGAAAUGACUGCUAAUACCGCAUAAGCGCACAGUAUCGCAUGAUACCGUGUGAAAAGCCGGGACGGUAUAAGAUGGACCCGCGUCUGAUUAGCUAGUUGGUGGGGUAACGGCCCACCAAGGCGACGAUCAGUAGCCGACCUGAGAGGGUGACCGGCCACAUUGGGACUGAGACACGGCCCAAACUCCUACGGGAGGCAGCAGUGGGGAAUAUUGCACAAUGGGGGAAACCCCGAUGCAGCGACGCCGCGUGAGUGAAGAAGUAUCUCGGUAUGUAAAGUUCUAUCAGCAGGGAAGAAAAUGACGGUACCUGACUAAGAAGCACCGGCUAAAUACGUGUCAGCCGCCGCUGUAAGAC